ensembl:lncRNA novel transcript
AAGUGUUUCUUCUGAUGUCUCAUUUUAACAAGAGGAUGAUGUCUGUGUGAGAAAUUCUACACUGAAUAAGACUGGUUGGGACUCAAAGAAGCUACAAGGAUGCACUUUUCCAGCACAAACAUGUUCUAGGUUGGAUGAUCAAAUGCAUAUGCCUAGCAAUUGAAAUCUCCAACUAGGAACAAAAAACUAAUCACAAAAAGCAAAGGAUUCACUUUGGUGUUCACAGUAGGAGCAACAGCAGCAUCUUGUUUGCAGUUCUGGUAGCAGCAGCAGCUGCAAUGGCUUCAGCCAUAUCAAAUAUCCUGUGGCACAGAGGGCUUCGAGGUUAAGAGAUACAAAUUUGCUUACCGCAUGAACUUUGCAGUUUGAUUUUUACUUUGAUUUGGUCACCUUGCUUUCUUUGCUCUUGAUUGUUUUCUAGCCCUACUUCUGUGACUACAUUAAAUAAUUCUUUAGCUAAUAAUAAUCCUUCCAAUAAAUUCACUCUUCUGCUUGAAUGAUUCACA